GCGCCGCAGGGACCCCCCCGCAGCGCAGGGAGCAGCGCCCGGGCAGCGGCACGGCAGGCUCUGGCCCCCAGCAGUUCAAGGAAGACAAGGAGCUGUGGAGAGCCACAAAGAUGAUGAGGGGUCUGGAGCAUCUCUUACGAGGAGAGACUGCGGGAGCUGGGAAUGUUUAGUCUGGAGAAGAGCAGACUGAGGGGAUUCUCAAAGACGACUGCCGCGAGGAUGGGGCCAGACUCUACUCAGUGGUGCCCAGAGAUAGGACGAGCAGCAGUGGCCGUAAACUGAACCACAAAAUGUUUCACCUCAAGAUGAGGAAGAACUUUACAUUGAGGGUGUCAGAGCACUGGAACAGGCUGCCUAGGGAGGUCAUGGAGCCUCCCUCUCUGGAGACGUUCAAACCCCACCUGGACAGGUUUCCCUGUAACCCGCUCUAGGUGCCCCUGCCUUGUUGGGGCUUUGGACUAGAUGAUCUCCAGAAGUCCUUUCCAGCCCUAACAGUUCUGUGAUUCUCUUUUCACUGCUUCACCCUGGGUAGUAAAUAGCCUGCAGAGAAACAUGGACAGCUCAUAUUUCUUUUUAACGUGCUCCUACAAAGAUCUAAUGUAGAAAGUGAGCAAGUAAUUUUGGUUGUGUAGAAUGCAAGGUAACAGCUCCGUGGGCAAAGCUGUAUUAUGGCUUUUGCAGGCUGGCAGGGAGGAUGUGGAAAAUCUUUAAUUGAUUGUAGUGGGUCAGAUCAAAGACCUGUUAGGCCAGUGCUCCAGAGACUUGUAGUGGAAAUAUAAAGACUCACGAGUGAAACACCUGUAGAAUUGUAUAUGUGUGAAAGCAGCAAAAGAAACAGGAGGACAGGGGUUGAAAGGAUGCUGUAUAAUAAUGUGGAAAACCACAGUUCUCCAGGAAGCUGUUGUCAGGAGUAAAACUGAAGAUGAUGGGCUUGGCAAGGCCUACACUGAUAAGCAGGAGCAUGAAUGAUUCAUCAAGAGCAGACCCUGCUCCUGAACUACAGGAGGAGGGCAACGUGCCUGUGUCCCAUAUCUUAUGUGCCAUUUGUUUUCCUGUUCCUCCACCAUGAAAACAGUCAUGGAGAGAUAGUGAGCUGUAGGUCUGCUAUUUAUUGAGUCUGCACUAAGUAAAACACUGGAGCAAAGGACUACCCUCUAAACAACUGUUGAGUCCUGAAGGGUGUAAAACAUUUGUCCAAAACUUAGUUCACCAUUGCCAAACAGGAUCAAUCUUGGAGGUGCAGUGAGGCCUUGAUAGCUGGCAACCUUCAUCCUCGGUGUUGUAUCCAAGUGGUAUUUCUCCAAAUGCUUGUUGUGGGUCUGUGGGUAUGAGAAUGUGAGUUGUUGGAACUUGGGAGAGAGUGAGUGGUAAAAUGAAUUUAAAGAUUUGUGAAUAACCAUCACUUUCUCUAGCAGUGCAGGGAGUUUUGUCGUGCUGAUUUUCCCUACACAUUAUGACUGUGCCUGUUAGCAGACACAUAGGGAAACACGAAAAAGCUGUGUGUGUACUGAUGUAUCACAAAAAAUCUCUUCCAGGCUGAAAAGGCCUGACCUCUGAUUAUUCUUCAGGUGGAAGUUGUCUUUUUGUAACUUUUUUCAGUUCUGUUUGCCCACACCAGUGGGAUUACUUGGAGUGUGCCCGGUAGGAUAUGGAGAUUGAUGCUGUGAAUUAUUAUUGCAGGACUGGUGUGGUAGUGGGCGUGUAGAACUGGAAAUGCCUGUCACUGAAUCCAUGACCUGAUAUCCCAGAUUAGUGCACAAUCUGUAAUAUUCUGUUUUCCAUUGAAAAUCCACACUAUCAAAGCUGGCUGUGCGAAGAUCAAAAGUUUGCCUAACCCAGGAUGCUGGCUCAGGUGGUGUCCAGGGGGUUGUCCACAGAAGAAUUUAGGAAGGGGAUCACUUGAUCCAGCUGUAGGAGAUACUGAAUGCUACCUUAGGAAUUUGGAAUCCCUACCGUAGGGAUUUGGGAAGUUGAUUUUUCCCCCUUUUUUAUUUUUCUGUUCAAGUAAGAAGCUGGAAACAUUUUUUCUUUUUCUGUCUGCGAAGUCACCAAGCCUUUGAAGCUUCUUAACGAACUCAAAUGUUACACAGUAUUCACAGCAUCAUUUCCAAGUGGAAUUACAUGUACAAAUAUAAAAUAAUGCAAUACUAGAAAUCAAACUAGGCAUGAAAAAUGAAUAUCUGGACUACAGCUCUGAAUUCCACUUUGCUGAACUACUUUUUCACUCGAACCAGAGGAAGAAAAGUAACUUGCUUUGCAGUGUCCCAGUGAUGUUCAAAGCAGAACAAGGAGAUGAAGAUAAUCAUGACUCUACUUUCAUGCUGUUCUUAGCCCAGUUAGUUCUCUGUGAGCCUGGGUGUCAUUGAUGAUUAUUCACUGUUUGCUCUUUGAAGAGUGUGCACAAGAGGGAGUGGAUUUUGGUGAGAAUGAAGUAGCAGAGGAAAGUGGCAUAUUGAAAUGAGGAAAAUGAAAGGGAUCUGACUUGCAGAGUAAUCUGUUAAUUUUGUGUGGUUUCCUUGAAAUUACAUUUUCACCACUUUUAACUGAUUUUUGAUUGCUAUGAAGUGUGCUAUUUGGUAAAUCAACUUUCCCAUAGCUGGGAGCAACCCUGGUGCUAGUGGGGCUCCCCUCAGAAGAGGGUGCAGUGGCUCUAGCUGCAUCCCCUUUCUGCAUCAGCAGGAUCUGCUCUUUCAAGCACGAGGAGUGUGGUCUUGCUUAUCCCUUACCUGAGCCACACAUUCCUUAUCUCAGCUGGCAAAUCAACAGGCCCAAAGUGCUGCCUGUCUUUUGCUGUGCUUCACCCAGUAAGAGCCAGAGGUGCUGUUUGGGUCCUUAAUGUUUCUUGUUCUUUUGGGGAGAAGCUUGAUAAUGUUUCUGUACAGAUUUCCUCUGCCAGCUGUUUUUCUUUCGUUUGUGGAACAAUGGCUUAUUUUAGGCAGAUAUAAGUAAACUUGAUAAAUGGGCACGUCUUCAGAUGAUUCAAAAAGCAUGAUGAUAUUUUUCCUAAAACUUUUAAGUUUUUUGGGCACAGCAGUAAUGUGUACUGCUGACCUUGCUUCAGAGUUGCCUAGUGGUGUCUUGCUGUGUUGGUAACUUUUUAGGGGUUCCUCUUUGUGGUUUAGUUUUUACGUUCAGUUUACUGUUCUGUUGUUACUGUUUUGCAAAUAGUGAAAUUUACAGAGCAGGCAUGUAAAUGCUGAUUAAAAUUGUUAAAAAGGUGGCAACUUGGUAAGCAAAAUAUUUUGAUAGACCCACAUGAUAUUUAACUUUGUCUACAGCAGACAGCUCAAUUCUUGAAUUCUUGAAUUCUUACUGCUUUUUCCUUCUGCAUUUUUACGAUACGUAAGUUUUGCAUUAUAAACUGAACAACAGCAACAACAAAAGUUUAAGGUUCUUUUAGAAGGACAGAAGGAAAUGCUUUAGGUGUUACCUUUAUUUACAGAUUAAAGCUAUCUGCCUAGCAAAAUAGGAAACCUUGCCUUUUAGGAAGGAUGUGAUGCUUUUUGUUGAUACAGGUAGAGAAAUGGAUCUUCAGCUGCGUUCUUCUCUCAGUUGCCAAAGUUCAAAGAAAAUGUAAGAAUGAAGUAACUAAUUAAGAAUAAAUGCACGUUUUUGUGCACUAAAUAGUCUAAAAAUGUUUAAAAUGUGUGUGGUGAAGUCUGUCAAGUGUCUUUUUAGGUAGAAAUGAGUUAGCACUGUGUUAGCUUUGCUGCUAGUCAGCUGUAUGUGCCAACAGUGGGGUAAAGCUGCUCUGUUGGGACUUUUUACGUGACACUAACAGGGUGCAAACCAUCAGGUGCGUGUCAGGGCGCGGUGACACGGACAGAAAGUUGUCCGUGUGCAGAAGCAGAGAUGUGCAGCCUCUGGCUUGGCCAGGCCGCUGGUCCCAGCCGGGCAGAGAUGCUGCGCCGACGUUUGGGUGAACUUCCACUCCCGGCACAGCAGAGGGCACCCCUUGUUUUCAGAUGUCGCAGGAAAAGCAGCACGUUUAAGAAAUUUCCUAUUUAGUUCCUUGAAUACCGUGUUUGAAGGGAAACCAUUUAUUAAGAAGAAACGUAACUGAUUUUGUCUGAAGUUCAGAUGGAGGGGACUGGGUUGGUAUCAGUACAUCAUAAUAACUAAUUUCUAAAAGAGAAAUAUUAGAAAUUAUUCUUUCAGACAUUUAUAUAUUUUAAAAUUUUCUUAGCCAGAGGUCCAUUGCUGAAAGGAUUAAUAAAUUUGAGGAAGGUGUCUGUAUAUUUAAAUUUCUUAUCACUAUUUAAAAAAUAAAAUAUAAAUAUUCAUAAAGAAAACAAAAAAAAAAUUUAAUAGGUCAUAUAAAGAGUUGACUUUAUGUUUUAGGGGAGAGAUUAAAAACUAAAACAUGAAAGUGAGAAUUUUAAAGGAACAUUAUUACAUUUCUGAAAGCUACGUGGAGAUCCUUAAAAAGAAUAUGUAAUUGUCAUGCUUGAGCAGUCUCUGGGCAACCUCAGUUUAAAAUAAUGUGUAACACUGGAUGUUUUGAAAUAAAAUACUCAAAUAAAUCAGAAUUAUUUUAAUGUAA